GUUCUGUAAGCCUGCGAAGGUGUACUGUGAGGUAUGCUGGAGGUAUCAGAAGUGCGAAUGCUGACAUAAGUAACGAUAAUGCGGGUGAAAAACCCGCACGCCGGAAGACCAAGGGUUCCUGUCCAACGUUAAUCGGGGCAGGGUGAGUCGACCCCUAAGGCGAGGCUGAAAAGCGUAGUCGAUGGGAAACGGGUUAAUAUUCCCGUACUGGUGGUAACUGCGAUGGGGGAACGGAGAAGGCUAGGUUGUCCGGGCGACGGUCGUCCCGGUUCAAGCAGGUAGGCAGAGUGAUUAGGCAAAUCCGGUCACUUAAUGCUGAGAUGUGAUGACGAACCACCAAGGUGGUGAAGCAAUUGAUGCCCCGCUUCCAGGAAAAGCCUCUAAGCUUCAGGUUACCAACAAUCGUACCCCAAACCGACACAGGUGGUCAGGUAGAGAAUACUCAGGCGCUUGAGAGAACUCGGGUGAAGGAACUAGGCAAAAUGGUGCCGUAACUUCGGGAGAAGGCACG
rnacentral:rRNA from 1 species